GACGAACGCUGGCGGCGUGCUUAACACAUGCAAGUCGAACGGGUCUGCCCUGUUUUUUGCGGGGUGGGUCAGUGGCGAACGGGUGAGUAACACGUGAGUAACCUGCCCCUCACUUCUGGAUAACCGCUUGAAAGGGUGGCUAAUACGGGGUGUUCUGGCUGUGCCGCAUGGUGUGGCUGGGAAAGAUUCCCUUUUGUGGUGUUUUGGUGGGGGAUGGGCUCGCGGCCUAUCAGCUUGUUGGUGGGGUGAUGGCUUGCCAAGGCUUUGACGGGUAGCCGGCCUGGGAGGGUGGGCGGUCUGACUGGGACUGAGAUACGGCCGGGACUCAUGCGGGAGGCAGCAGUGGGGGGUAUGGAGCAAUGGGCGGAAGCCUGAUGCAGCGACGUGGCGUGAGGGAUGGCGGCCUUCGGGUUGUGAACCUCUUUCGCCGGUGAAGAAGGUCCUGCUCUUUGUGGUGGGGUUGACGGUAGCCGGGUUAUGAAGCGCCGGCUAACUACGUG
rnacentral:rRNA from 1 species